AAACAAAGGAAGAUGUGCUAAGAAGCUUUCCUAUUACAGAUCCAGUUUGCUGCCAGCCUCUCCUAACAGGCUUAGUCAACACACUCCAUGGGGAGAGGCCUUCAUCUCUGAUGCAGAAGCCAUGACUGCUACUGUGUGGAAGUUUUCCCAUUUCUACUGUGGGAGGAAAACAUCUCAGAGAACAGAAACAAAUCAAGGUGAUAAUAAUGGACAAAUCUUAAUAAGGUUCUAUUUUAGUAGUCUCAAGAUCAUCUACCAGUGUGGAUGACAUUGAAAUGAAAGGAGGAGAUACACCAGUUUUCUGUCCCAAGAAGUCAAAUAAACAAAACGACAAGCAUA
rnacentral:lncRNA from 1 species